rnacentral:lncRNA from 1 species
GUGUGCCUACAUGUAUUUGUGCUGCUCGAGUGCUAAGCUUUAAAUGCUUCCUCCUGCUCACCCACCCCAGGCUCCGGGCCACCAGGAACCACGUGUGAGCCCAGCCUUCCUCUGGCACACACUCCAGGCAGUCUUUUCCUCGACUCCUCAGCACAGAGUGUGAACAAGCCUGCGUGUGUGCAUCUGAGUCACUCCUCCCAACGGCAGGAGUGGACUUCGCGGUGCGUCGGAGAUUUCUCUUCUCUCUCAGUGCCAGGGAGCUCAUGGCCCACAGAAGCAGCCAAUUCUGUUUUUGGAAACCAGCGCCUCCUAGAAAGAACAAACAAACAAGAUGACAAACUCCUAUUCAUCCCUCAAAGCCCAGCUCAGAUGUUACCUUCUCGUGGGAAGCCAUUCACGACUCUUCACCCAGAGACACUCCCCUCUGAGCAUCUCUCUACCUUGAACCUGCUUCUUUACAGCACCAAGUCCACCAUUUGAGCGUCGGUGAAACUCACUCACGUGGGACGGCACUGUGUCGUGGUUGCUUUGGGGAAUGGAAGGAAAGGCUGCAGCGUUCUUUGUUAGCCCAGGGCAGAGAGAAGACUCCAGUGGCAGGAGGCAAGACCCGGACGCGAUGGAGAAUUCCGCCGGACUGUGUUGUUUUCCUUCAAAUUUCAACCUACAUAAUUAUGUGAACAGCGUCUGAAAGCCGAUAAGCACCAGGAGGCCGGGAUCCUGUCUGAUUUCCCCCCCAUCCUCCCGCCAGCAUCACACUGCUGGCCCAGAAAAGGUGCUCACCGGAUAUUUGCUGAAGACCUUUGCCACUGUGUGACUGAGGAGUAUUAGCUGUGUGGGGAUGCCAGUGUGCCCUACACGAACAAAGGCGAGUGUGGGGCAUGCAUGGAGAAAAUUAAAAGGUAUGUUUUCUUUAUUUUUUUUUCUUUCUCUUUCUCUUUCUCUCCUUCCUGCCUUCCUUCCUUCUUUCUUUCUUUCUCUCUGUUUCUUUCCUUUCUCUCUCUGUCUCUCUCCCUCUUUCCCUCUCUCUCUU